rnacentral:rRNA from 1 species
AGGUCAGCCUGCUUAGUGACUCUGUUCACGGCCGCGGUAUCCUAACCGUGCAAAGGUAGCGUAAUCACUUGUUCAUUAAAUGUGGACUAGUAUGAAUGGCACCACGAAGGUUAUACUGUCUCCUUUCUCUAAUCAGUGAAACUAAUCUCCUCGUGAAGAAGCGAGGAUUAAACGAUAAGACGAGAAGACCCUAUGGAGCUUGAAACAAUACAGCACUUACUAAACACGCACAACUUUCUGAAUAUUAACACCAUUAAUGAUAUGUCUGUAAGUUUUUGGUUGGGGUGACCACGGAGAAUAACUUAACCUCCAUGCUGAAAUUUAACCCAGGACUACCUCCCUAAGUAUUAGCACUUUAACAUUAAUUGACCCAAUACACUUGAACAACGAACUAAGUUACCCUAGGGAUAACAGCGCAAUCCACUUCGAGAGCCCCUAUCGACAAGUGGGUUUACGACCUCGAUGUUGGAUCAGGGUAUCCUAGUGGUGCAGCCGCUACUAAAGGUUCGUUUGUUCAACGAUUAAAACCCUACGUGAUCUGAGUUCAGACCG